rnacentral:rRNA from 1 species
UUAAAGGAAUUGACGGGGAGCACCACAACGGGUGGAGCUUGCGGUUUAAUUGGAUUCAACGCCGGAAAUCUUACCGGGACCGACAGCAAUAUGAAGGCCAGGCUGAAGACUUUGCCGGAUUAGCUGAGAGGUGGUGCAUGGCCGUCGUCAGUUCGUGCUGUGAAGCAUCCUGUUAAGUCAGGCAACGAGCGAGACCCACGCCCACAGUUGCCAGCGUACUCUCUAGAGUGACGGGUACACUGUGGGACCGCCGCUGCUAAAGCGGAGGAAGGAAUGGGCAACGGUAGGUCAGUAUGCCCCGAAUAUCCCGGGCUACACGCGAGCUACAAUGGUUGGUACAAUGGGUAUCUACCCCGAAAGGGGACGGGAAUCUCCUAAAACCAAUCUUAGUUCGGAUUGAGGGCUGCAACUCGCCCUCAUGAAGCUGGAAUCCGUAGUAAUCGCGUUUCAACAGAACGCGGUGAAUACGUCCCUGCUCCUU